UACGUAGGGUGCGAGCGUUGUCCGGAAUUAUUGGGCGUAAAGAGCUCGUAGGCGGUCUGUCGCGUCGGUCGUGAAAACUUGGGGCUUAACCCUGAGCUUGCGGUCGAUACGGGCAUGACUGGAGUUCGGCAGGGGAGACUGGAAUUCCUGGUGUAGCGGUGAAAUGCGCAGAUAUCGGGAGGAACACCAGUGGCGAAGGCGACUAUCUGGGCUGAAACUGACGCUGAGGCGCGAAGGCUAGGGGAGCAAACAGG
rnacentral:rRNA from 1 species